UCUUCAGGAGUAACUACCUCUGUGCUUUUGCUGAAAAUCGUCUCCCAGGAUGUACUAUUGUCACAAAAAAUAGAAAAACAUGAAUGUUUUAUUCAUAUCCAGAAAAUGUUAUAUAUGACAUCUCAAAAAGAUUCUGGAUACAAUCUCAGGAACGAGAAAUCUGUGAACACUGCUCCCAAGCAUUCUUCUUCAGCCUCUAUACUGGACUUCCAGGAAUAAGGUCCUCAUGUUGGCAAUUAAUUCUUUUCUGUGAAUUUUGGUAUGCCGCUGUUUUUCCCAUUCAGAAGAACCUGCUGACAGCCUCUUCAUUGAACCUUGUCCAUAAAGCCUUUUUUGUGCUUCGGCCUUUUGCUGAGCAAGAUUUCUCUUUUUGUCGCUUGACCUAAAAAUUCAAGAAAAGAAUGAAAUUGUAAUCAAAUAUUCAAAGAUAUUUUGCUUUAAGAAUACAUAGGAAGAACAAAAUUCAUUACUCUCUACAAAUAUAAAUGUUUACAUACUUAAUUCUUCAGUAGUAAAAAUAUUGUCUAAUCAUUUUAGGCCUCCUCUGAACACCUCCAUUAAAUAUAUUCUUAAU